AUUAUCGAAUUUCGAGGGGGGGAAGAUGAAGGGGAGACUGUCGCUGGCGUUCGCUGUGCACGUCUUUCUUUUCGUCGACCUUUCUCUUACUCUCACACCUGUGCACACACUGUAGGUCUCUCGAAAGAGGAUCUAUGUUUUCAUCAUCACACACACUGUAUGUCUAGAAUGUAUCACGAUCGUCGACCGGCCUUGCGGUCGGGUGGCGGUCAAAUGAAUAAAUACAACUUUCAGCAACGGAUCUCUUGGCUCUCGCAUCGAUGAAGAACGCAGCGAAUUGCGAUAAGUAAUGUGAAUUGCAGAUUUUCAGUGAAUCAUCGAAUCUUUGAACGCACCUUGCGCUCCUUGGUAUUCCGAGGAGCAUGCCUGUUUGAGUGUCAUGUAAUUCUCAACCACGUCUCGAUUGAUUUCGAGGCAUGGCUUGGACUUGGGGGCUGCUGGUGGCGAAAGCUGUCAGCUCUCCUGAAAUGCAUUAGCAACGGACAGCAAUGUCUGACGUGCACGGCCUUGACGUGAUAAUGAUCGUCGUCGCUGGAGCGUCGGACGUGCACACGAGUCCGUUUGCUUCGAAUCCUAUUGACUUGAGACUUGGACAUUUCGAGAGAAGCGUCAGCUACUAGUCGGUCAUGAGGCCGGCGAACGUGGGCUUGCUCGGAGGUCAGAGUCCCUCGUCUUUUUUCAUGACUUGACCUCAAAUCAGGUAGGACUACCCGCUGAACUUAAGCAUAUCAAUAAGCGGAGGAAAAGAAACUAACAAGGAUUCCCCUAGUAACUGCGAGUGAAGCGGGAAGAGCUCAAAUUUUGAAUCUGGCGGUCUUUGGCCGUCCGAGUUGUAAUCUAGAGAAGCGUUUUCCGCGCUGGCCCGUGUACAAGUCUCCUGGAAAGGAGCGUCAUAGAGGGUGAGAAUCCCGUCUUUGACACGGACUACCAGUGCUAUGUGAUGCGCUCUCGACGAGUCGAGUUGUUUGGGAAUGCAGCUCAAAAUGGGUGGUAAAUUCCAUCUAAAGCUAAAUACAGGCGAGAGACCGAUAGCGAACAAGUACCGUGAGGGAAAGAUGAAAAGAACUUUGGAAAGAGAGUUAAACCGUACGUGAAAUUGCUGAAAGGGAAACGCUUGAUGUCAAUCGCGUCGGCCAGGGAUCAACCUUGCUUCUCGCUGGGUGUAUUUCCUGGUCGACGGGUCAGCAUCGGUUUCGGUCGCCGUACAAGGGCGAGGGGAACGUGGCACUCUUCGGAGUGUGUUAUAGCCUUUCGUCGCAUGCGGUGGUCGGGACCGAGGAACUCAGCACGGCUUCGGUCUGUGCUUAGGAUGCUGGCAUAAUGGCCUUAAGCGACC
rnacentral:rRNA from 1 species